rnacentral:rRNA from 1 species
UCGGGAAUUUUGGGCAAUGGGGGAAACCCUGACCCAGCAACGCCGCGUGGAGGAUGAAGUAUUUCGGUAUGUAAACUUCGUAAGAAUAGGAAGAAUCAAUGACGGUACUAUUUGUAAGCUCCGGCUAACUACGUGCCAGCAGCCGCGGUAAUACGUAGGGGGCAAGCGUUGUUCGGAUUUACUGGGCGUAAAGGGCGCGUAGGCGGCGUGACAAGUCACUUGUGAAAUCUCCGGGCUUAACCCGGAAAGGUCAAGUGAUACUGUUGUGCUAGAGUGCAGAAAGGGCAACUGGAAUUCUUGGUGUAGCGGUGAAAUGCGUAGAUAUCAAGAGGAACACCUGAGGCGAAGGCGAGUUGCUAGGCUGACACUGACGCUGAGGCGCGAAAGCUAGGGGAGCGAACG